rnacentral:rRNA from 1 species
UACGGGGGGAGCAAGCGUUGUUCGGAUUUACUGGGCGUAAAGGGCGCGUAGGCGGCCUCCGCAAGUCAGUUGUGAAAUCUCCGAGCUUAACUCGGAAAGGUCAACUGAUACUGCGGGGCUAGAGUGCGGAAGGGGCAACUGGAAUUCUUGGUGUAGCGGUGAAAUGCGUAGAUAUCAAGAGGAACACCAGUGGCGAAGGCGAGUCCCUGGACAACACCUGACACUGAGGCACGAAAGCUAGGGGAGCAAACAGG